GCCGGAUUAGCUCAACAGGCAGAGCACCUGUCUAGUAAACAGGACACGCGGGUUCGAGUCCUGCAUCCGGCUCCA
rnacentral:tRNA from 1 species